rnacentral:rRNA from 1 species
UACGGAGGGUGCAAGCGUUAUCCGGAUUUACUGGGUUUAAAGGGUGCGUAGGUGGACAAUUAAGUCAGUGGUGAAAUCUCCGGGCUUAACUCGGAAACUGCCAUUGAUACUAUUUGUCUUGAAUAUCCUGGAGGUAAGCGGAAUAUGUCAUGUAGCGGUGAAAUGCUUAGAUAUGACAUAGAACACCUAUUGCGAAGGCAGCUUACUACGGGAUUAUUGACACUGAGGCACGAAAGCGUGGGGAUCAAACAGG